rnacentral:rRNA from 1 species
CUCGUAGGCGGUUUGUCGCGUCGUCUGUGAAAUUCUGCAACUCAAUUGCAGGCGUGCAGGCGAUACGGGCAGACUUGAGUAGUGCAGAGGUAGGCGGAAUUCCCGGUGUAGCGGUGGAAUGCGUAGAUAUCGGGAGGAACACCAGUGGCGAAGGCGGCCUACUGGGCACCAACUGACGCUGAGGCUGAAAGUGUGGGUAGCAAACA